AUAAUCUUGUGUCUGUUUCUCAUUGCUGUUUAACCAAAUAAUCUCUGAUUGCUCUGUAUUACAGGCUCUUUCCUGAGCCAACGCGGUGCUGUAUCUGAGACAGACCGUCAUCCAUGUACCUCUGGAGUCAGAGCUCUGCAGAGCUUCGCUGUCCUGAGGGCAGUUUCUGUCCAGCCGGUUCUGUAACAGGACAUCAUUCCGACUGUCAGUGUCCGUCUGGUCACUCGUGUCCGUGUGGCAGUGUCCAGCCUGCCAUCUGUCUGCCUGAUACUUAUCAGCCUCUGCCAUCCCAGCCUUCCUGUCAACCUUGCCCACCAGGUUUUUACUGUUUGGAGGGUUGCACCACCCCACUUCCCUAUCCUGCAGGCACUGCGAGUAUAAUUGAGGGGUUACAAUCUCAGCUGGAUUGCUCUCCAUGUCCUCUCGGAUUCUACUGUAACACCAGCGCACUAAUCAGCCCCACCGGACCCUGCUCUGCAGGUCAUUUCUGUUCAGCUGAAGCCACAGAGCCUGCCCCAGUCUCUCAGACAUGUGGAGAUAUAUGUCCGGCAAGAUAUUACUGCUGCUAAGUAGUGCUCCGUUACUAUGUCCUGUCAGUUUCAUUCUCCGGGAUAAAGAGGCCACCUCUCAUAAUGACUGCUCCCCUUGCCCUCCAAGCAGAAAUUGCAUUGCACCAGGCUCCUCUCAGCCCUCAGGGUUUUGCUCUCCAGGUCACUAUUGCAUUAGCGGCGCAGAUACUGCUGCACCUCAGGCCACACCCUCUCAGCAGACUUGUUUUUGUGACCUCAUACCUUCAUCCCACUUCCGAAAGUAUGAUCUUUGCUUUCUGAAGCACAACAUAGCCUGCUCAAUUCACAUUUUAGGAGAUGGUGCCAAAGAUUGGACCAAUCUGGAUCCCAGACCUCUAUUAGAUUUAACUGAGUCUGAAGGUUAUUCAGAAUCACCUCUACAAAUCACAGAAACAUGCACUGGCUUCAAGGGAGACCUGUGUCCUACAGGUACACAGUGCACACUGGCAUAUUUGUUUUUAAAAUACUUCUUUAAAAUUGAAUUAAAAGGAUCAUUCACCCAAAAGUGUCAUAGUUUACUAACUCAAAUGUCAUUACAAAACUGUGUGAAUUUCUUCUGUGGAACACAAAAGGAGAUAUUAAAAAAAUAAAAAUGCGGGUUUUCUAUGCA
ensembl:lncRNA